rnacentral:lncRNA from 1 species
UUCAUGCAUGCUGGCAACACCUCCUAACGGAAAGCACGCUCCCUUCUUCUAGAAGAAUCCUAUGCCACCUGUCAAACCUCCAUUGGCAUCCUAAAAGCAUCAUCUGAUUCCGCACCAGCCUCUCAAGAGAAAACACGUGGUGGAGCAAGGCCCUUCCACGUGGCAAAAUGAGCAGCUGCCAGAAUGGCCCCAAAUGGGGGGUCUACA